GCUGCCCCUAGAGGCAUUGCAGGUGUGGCUGCUGUGUUACAUGUGUGUAGGAGGCAGAGAGGAGAGAGCUUAUGUCUAAGCUCAGUGUUCUGACCUGUGACCAUCUGGAUGAUUGGUAGACUUAACACU